CGCACAUUGCGCCCCUCGGUAUUCCGUGGGGCAUGCCUGUUCGAGCGUCAUUUACACUCUCAAGCUCUGCUUGGUGUUGGGUGUCUGUCCCGCCCCGCGUGUGGACUCGCCCUAAAGUCAUUGGCAGCGGUUAUGCCAGCUUCUUGUGCAGCACAUUGCGCUUCUUGAAGCCCUGGUGUACCGGCAUCCAGCAAGCCUUUCUAUAACUUGACCUCGGAUCAGGUAGGGAUACCCGCUGAACUUAA
rnacentral:misc_RNA from 1 species